GACGAACGCUGGCGGCGUGCUUAACACAUGCAAGUCGAACGGAAAGGCCCUGCUUUUGUGGGGUGCUCGAGUGGCGAACGGGUGAGUAACACGUGAGUAACCUGCCCUUGACUUUGGGAUAACUUCAGGAAACUGGGGCUAAUACCGGAUAGGAGCUCCUGCUGCAUGGUGGGGGUUGGAAAGUUUCGGCGGUUGGGGAUGGACUCGCGGCUUAUCAGCUUGUUGGUGGGGUAGUGGCUUACCAAGGCUUUGACGGGUAGCCGGCCUGAGAGGGUGACCGGCGACAUUGGGACUGCGGUACGGCCCAGACUCCUACGGGAGGCAGUAGUGGGGAAUAUUGCACAGUGGGCGGAAGCCUGAUGCAGCAACGCCGCGUGCGGGAUGACGGCCUUCGGGUUGUAAACCGCUUUCGCCUGUGACGAAGCGUGAGUGACGGUAAUGGGUAAAGAAGCACCGGCUAACUACGUG
rnacentral:rRNA from 1 species